GACGAACGCUGGCGGCGUGCUUAACACAUGCAAGUCGAACGGAAAGGCCCUGCUUGCAGGGUACUCGAGUGGCGAACGGGUGAGUAACACGUGGGUGAUCUGCCCUGCACUUCGGGAUAAGCCUGGGAAACUGGGUCUAAUACCGGAUAGGAGCCAUUUUUAGUGUGAUGGUUGGAAAGUUUUUUCGGUGUAGGAUGAGCUCGCGGCCUAUCAGCUUGUUGGUGGGGUAAUGGCCUACCAAGGCGGCGACGGGUAGCCGGCCUGAGAGGGUGGACGGCCACAUUGGGGAUGAGAGCCGCCCCGGACCCCAGCGGGUGGCGGCGGGGGGGAAUUGUGAAAAAGGGGGCCAAGCCGGAGGGCGCGGCGCCGGGGGGGGGAUGACGGCCUGGGGGUUGUAACCUCUUUCCGCGGGGAAAGAAGCUUUUUGGGACGGUACGUAAUAAAGAGGCACCGGCAAACUAGGUC
rnacentral:rRNA from 1 species